AACAGAAAGUAGCUUGCUACUUUGCUGACGAGCGGCGGACGGGUGAGUAAUGCUUGGGAACAUGCCUUGAGGUGGGGGACAACAGUUGGAAACGACUGCUAAUACCGCAUAAUGUCUACGGACCAAAGGGGGCUUCGGCUCUCGCCUUUAGAUUGGCCCAAGUGGGAUUAGCUAGUUGGUGAGGUAAUGGCUCACCAAGGCGACGAUCCCUAGCUGGUUUGAGAGGAUGAUCAGCCACACUGGGACUGAGACACGGCCCAGACUCCUACGGGAGGCAGCAGUGGGGAAUAUUGCACAAUGGGCGCAAGCCUGAUGCAGCCAUGCCGCGUGUGUGAAGAAGGCCUUCGGGUUGUAAAGCACUUUCAGUCAGGAGGAAAGGUUAGUAGUUAAUACCUGUUAGCUGUGACGUUACUGACAGAAGAAGCACCGGCUAACUCCGUGCCAGCAGCCGCGGUAAUACGGAGGGUGCGAGCGUUAAUCGGAAUUACUGGGCGUAAAGCGUACGCAGGCGGUUUGUUAAGCGAGAUGUGAAAGCCCCGGGCUCAACCUGGGAACUGCAUUUCGAACUGGCAAACUAGAGUGUGAUAGAGGGUGGUAGAAUUUCAGGUGUAGCGGUGAAAUGCGUAGAGAUCUGAAGGAAUACCGAUGGCGAAGGCAGCCACCUGGGUCAACACUGACGCUCAUGUACGAAAGCGUGGGGAGCAAACGGGAUUAGAUACC
rnacentral:rRNA from 1 species